rnacentral:lncRNA from 1 species
UUGCCGCCAUCGCACACUCGUUGCCGUAUGUUUGUCACCAGUGCCUCAACUCGCCGGUGACUCACCCUAUGUUCGUCAUAGGCGCCGCAACUCGCCGGUGACUCCCCACCAUGUUUGCCACCGGUGUCACAACUCGCCGGUGACUCACCUCCAUGUUGUCAACGAUGACACACCUUGUCGACGAAUCGCACAUGGAACUCCUCAUGGCAAUGGUCUCCGCUCCAUGGCCAUCACCUCCUUGCCACCGCUGACGCAACUUACCGGGCAGCAUACCAUUCUGUAUCGCUUGAAUCAACUCGACGAUGAUUGAUGGAGACAUGCACUGACCGCUAACAGCAUCGCACCUCCAUAGGCCGACACACGGCCCGGAGCUUCACGCGGUCGCCGACAAACGCCGUCAUCGCCGGUGCGUCUCUCGCACGGCAAACCAAGCUCUGAUAUCAAAUGUUGGCAUAGCCUUGCCCCCUCUCUGUCACUGGACUGAAAGUAGAAGAAGAAUUGAAGAUAAAAUACAGUGGACACAGGUGUUUCCAGCGCUCCAACGCGAG